rnacentral:rRNA from 1 species
GCGGGGAGGAAGCUUGCUUUCUCCGCCGGCGACCGGCGCACGGGUGAGUAACACGUAUGCAACCUGCCCCUGUCAGGGGGACAACCCGCCGAAAGGCGGGCUAAACCCGCGUACAUGCCACCGGGGCAUCCCGGAGGCAGGAAAGGCUUCGGCCGGACAGGGAUGGGCAUGCGGCGCAUUAGGCAGUAGGCGGGGUAACGGCCCACCUAACCGACGAUGCGUAGGGGUUCUGAGAGGAAGGUCCCCCACACUGGUACUGAGACACGGACCAGACUCCUACGGGAGGCAGCAGUGAGGAAUAUUGGUCAAUGGUCGGGAGACUGAACCAGCCAAGCCGCGUGAGGGAGGAAGGUACAGAGUAUCGUAAACCUCUUUUGUCAGGGAACAAAGGCGGGGACGCGUCCCCGGAUGAGUGUACCUGAAGAAAAAGCAUCGGCUAACUCCGUGCCAGCAGCCGCGGUAAUACGGAGGAUGCGAGCGUUAUCCGGAUUUAUUGGGUUUAAAGGGUGCGCAGGCGGUCUGUUAAGUCAGCGGUCAAAGCCCGGGGCUCAACCCCGGCCCGCCGUUGAAACUGGCAGUCUCGAGUUGGAGAGAAGUAUGCGGAAUGCGCGGUGUAGCGGUGAAAUGCAUAGAUAUCGCGCAGAACUCCGAUUGCGAAGGCAGCAUGCCGGCUCCACACUGACGCUGAGGCACGAAAGCGUGGGUAUCGAACAGGAUUAGAUACCCUGGUAGUCCA